AACGAACGCUGGCGGCAGGCUUAACACAUGCAAGUCGAGCGCCCCGCAAGGGGAGCGGCAGACGGGUGAGUAACGCGUGGGAAUCUACCUUUUGCUACGGAACAACAGUUGGAAACGACUGCUAAUACCGUAUGUGCCCUUCGGGGGAAAGAUUUAUCGGCAAAGGAUGAGCCCGCGUUGGAUUAGCUAGUUGGUGAGGU
rnacentral:rRNA from 1 species